rnacentral:rRNA from 1 species
GCCCGGAGAUAGCUGGUUCUCCCCGAAAUAGCUUUAGGGCUAGCCUCAAGGUGAGAGAUACGGAGGUAGAGCACUGAAUGUCCUAGGGGGUAUUGCACCUACCGAAGACUAUCAAACUCCGAAUGCCGUCAUCUUAUACUUGGGAGUCAGACUGUGGGUGAUAAGAUUCAUAGUCGAAAGGGCAACAGCCCAGAUCGUCAGCUAAGGUCCCUAAAUGUAAGUUAAGUGGUAAAGGAUGUGGGAUUGCACAGACAACCAGGAUGUUGGCUUAGAAGCAGCCACUCAUUCAAAGAGUGCGUAAUAGCUCACUGGUCGAGUGAUCCUGCGCCGAAGAUUUCCGGGGCUAAAACUUACUACCGAAGCUACGGCAUCAGUAAUGAU